AACAAAAACCCAAACCUUUGCAUCGACAACAACUCUUGCCAACCAACAAAAAGGGAAAACAAUUUUAAGAUUGUUGUUUGUAUUGUUGUUCCGAUAGUUGCGGUUGUUGUGAUUGGAGCACUUGUAGUACUUCUGAUUCUCAUAGUGAGAAAAAAGAAAGGAUCUACAAAGAGCAGCAAACAACAAGACCGUCAACACCUGGACAACCACCGAUUCACAUACAAAGAACUAGAGACCAUAACAGACAACUUCAAGACAGUGCUUGGCCUAGGAGGGUUUGGAACUGUUUAUGAUGGCUUCUUGCAGGAUGGUACCCAAGUUGCAGUCAAGUUACGGUCUCAAUCCUCCAGUCAAGAUGUAAGAGAGUUCUUGACAGAGGCUCAGACAAUAACGAAGAUCCAUCACAAGAAUCUUUUAUCAUUAGUUGGUUAUUGCAAGGAUGGGAUAUAUUUAGCUCUUGUCUACAAGCAUAUGUCUGGAGGAAAUCUAGAAGA